rnacentral:rRNA from 1 species
GGCGCCUAAAUGCAGUCGGAGGUAGCACAGAGAGCUUGGUCUCGCGUGAGGAGAGUGGGACAGGUGAGUAAUGUGUGGGGAUCUGCCCCAUAUAGGGGGAUAUCCCCUGUGGACGGGGGGUAAUACCGCAUAACGUCGCGAGAGCCAAGAGGGGGACCUUCUGGCCUCUCACUAUCUGAUGAGCCCCCAUGGGAUUAUCUAUUAGGGGGGGUAACGGCCCCCCUAUGCGACAAUACCUAUCUGGGCUGAGAGAAUGACCACCCCCACUGUGACUGAGACACGGUCCACACUCCUACAGGAGGCGCCACUGGGGAAUAUUGUGCAAUGGGCGCACGCCUGAUGCGCCCCUGUGCCGUGUGUGAAAAAAGCCUUCUGGUUGUAAAGUACUUUUUCCGCGGAGAAAAGGGCUGAGGUUAAUAACCUUAUUGAGUGAGGUUUCCCCCACAAAAAACACCGGCUAACUCCCUGCCCCCACCCGCGGUAAUACAGAGGGUGCGAGCGUUAAUCUCAAUUACUGUGCGUAAAGCGCACGCACGCGGUCUGUUAAGUCACAUAUGAGAUCCCCGGGGUUAUACUGUGAACUGCGUUUGUAAAUGUGACGCUUGAGUCUCUCAUAGAGGGGUAUAAUUCUCCGUGUGUCGCUGUGAUGCGUAUAGAUCUGGAGGAAUAUCGGUGUCGAGAGCGGCCCCCUGUACAAGAACAGAGACUCUCGUGCGAAAGCGUGUGGAGCACACACGAGUAUAUACACUGUGAGUCCCCGCCGCAUACAAUAUCUACUUGUGGGUGGUUCUCUUGAGGAGUGGCUUCCCGAGAUAACACGUUAUAACUACCGCCUGGGGAGUACAGCCGCACGGUGAUAACUCUCAUGAGUUGUCAGGGGCCCCCACACGCGCUGGAGCAUGUGUUUUAUUUCUAUGUACACGCGGAACCUUAUCUACUCUUGACACCCCAGAGAAUUGGGAG